rnacentral:rRNA from 1 species
GUCCUGGGCUACACACGUACUACAAUGGGUAAGACAGAGGGAAGCGAAAGUGCGAACUGGAGCAAAACCCUAAACUUAUUCUCAGUUCGGAUUGGAGUCUGAAAUUCGGCUCCAUGAAGCUGGAAUUGCUAGUAAUGGCAGGUCAGCAUACUGCCGUGAAUACGUUCCCGGGCCUUGUACACACCGCCCGUCACACCAUGAGAGUUGGGAAUACCCGAAGCCUGUGAGCUAACUUUUUAAGAGGCAGCAGUCGAAGGUAGAAUCAAUGAUUGGGGUGAAGUCGUAACAAGGUAGCCGUAUCGGAAGGUGCGGCUGGAUCACCUCCUUUCUAAGGAGA